CAGGAUUAACAGAUGACCACUGGUCAUUUCAAGGUCAUUCAUUUGAAGGUCAAGGUCACUGUGACCUUCAAUAUAAAAAAUGUUAAAGUUCUUAUAACUUUGGUAUGCUUGGACCUAGAGUCUUGAAACUUGACAUGAAGGUUGGCCAUAACUAGUUAGUAACCACUGGUCAUUUCAAGGUCAUUCAUUUGAAGGUCAAGGUCACUGUGACCUUGAAUGUAAAAAUGUUAAAGUUCUUAUUUCAUGGUAUAACUUUGGUAUGCUUGGACCUAGAGUCUUCAAACUUGACAUGAAGGUUGGCCAGAACUAGUAAGUAACCACUGGACAUUUCAAGGUCAUUCAUUUGAAGGUCAAGGUCACUGUGACCUUGAAUGUAAAAAUGUUAAAGUUGUUAUAACUUUGGUAUGCUUGGACCUAGAGUCUUGAAACUUGACAUGAAGGUUGGCCAGAACUAGUAAGUAACCACUGGACAUUUCAAGGUCAUUCAUUUGAAGGUCAAGGUCACUGUGACCUUGAAUGUAAAAAUGUUAAAGUUCUUAUUUCAUGUUAUAACUUUGGUAUGCUUGUACCUAGAGUCUUCAAACUUGAAAUAAAGAUUGGCCAGUACUAGAAGAUGACCACUGGUCAUUUCAAUGUCAUUCAUUUGAAGGUCAAGGUCACUGUGACCUUAAAUGUUAAAAUGUUAAAAUUGUUAUAACUUUGGUAUGCUUGGACAUAGAGUCUUCAAACUUGACAUGAAGGUUUGCAAGCACACUUAGAUGACCACUGGUUAUUGUUGUUCAUGUAUAUGCAUGCAUUCAAAACAUAACACAAGGUUUGCUCAUGCCUUGAAAAGUACUUACAUUUCAUUUUGACCUUUGAACAAUAUUUCAGUAAUUUAAGUA